AUGGGUGCCCCUUUGUGGUCGGUGUACAGGUGGUGCAUGGUUGUCGUCAGCUCGUGUCGUGAGAUGUUGGGUUAAGUCCCGCAACGAGCGCAACCCUCGUCCUAUGUUGCCAGCGGGUCAUGCCGGGGACUCAUGGGAGACUGCCGGGGUCAACUCGGAGGAAGUGGGGAUGACGUCAAAUCAUCAUGCCCCUUAUGUCUUGGGCUUCACGCAUGCUACAAUGGCCGGUACAAAGGGCUGCGAUACCGCGAGGUGGAGCGAAUCCCAGAAAGCCGGUCUCAGUUCGGAUUGGGGUCUGCAACUCGACCCCAUGAAGUCGGAGUCGCUAGUAAUCGCAGAUCAGCAACGCUGCGGUGAAUACGUUCCCGGGCCUU
rnacentral:rRNA from 1 species